AACAGUAAAACUGUGAGUUUAAAUACAGAUAUUGUCAUCUAAACAAUAUCCACAUACAAAUAAAUCCUCAUCAUAAUUAUUGAUACAUUAUUUUACAAAAAUGGUGAGGACUACUAAACAACUCUCUAAAACUAUCAUUCCAUACCCCGACUCGUACUCGCUACAUUCUCGCCUCCUGAGAAGAAAAAUGGAACAAAAAGGAAAAGGGUGAGCUC
rnacentral:lncRNA from 1 species